CUUAUCUUCCCAUUCGCCUCAUACAUCCCAAACCGCAGCAGCCGGCUCCCCGACACGUCAGCAGCGAAACUGCGGCAGCCGCCGCCAUCACUCCCCGGCGACUGAUCCAAAUUACAGCUUCAUCGGCAACCGGAUCGGAGAGCACGAGACCGGCCGGACUUGUGGUUUAUACUAUUGGAAUAAUAGAUCUGAAAGAGGCGCAUAUGGUCCCGUCGUGGAUCUGAUUGCUUGCCGAGUUAAUUUUUGUGGACGGCGGAUUUUCUGGUGCUUUGUGGAUGUCCCUCCCGGAUGGAGGCUGGGUGUCUCAAGUAGAAGAAUUGAUUCAUGUGCCUUGUGGCAGUCAAUGAUGUAGUGUUGCAUCGUCGGUCUUUAGUGGACCCUUACGGUCCAACCGCUAGCGGCGCCCAGCUAGCCAUAAACAGAUCAACAUAUAUCUUUAAUUAUUUUGGUUAGUGGGCAUAUGAUGAAAUGGAUUCACAAAUACUCUUUGGAAAGUAGUAUAUACCCAGCUGC